rnacentral:sRNA from 1 species
UCCGUUCCAAAUGCAGACAUUUACACUCGUAUUGAAGCAAUAGAUCUUCCUUAUGACAACAAAAAGCUGACUGCAGAAAAGCAAAGCUUCUGGGAAAAGUCUUCGAGCACGUCUUGGCUUGUUCAUAGAGGGAGAAGACCUGACUAAUUAGCUCCAGCCCUUCUAAUCCGAAGGAGCAGAAAUAAUUAAAGUAUCUGGGGCAAGCUGUGCCACACAGCAGCAGGCUACAGAAGGGGCGACGCGAAUCGAAGCAAACGCUUGGAGAAGGUCCAUGUGGUUAUUGGGCCUAAAUCAUGUGACUUGGAUUCUCUGAUUUCUACCUUCACAUAUGCUUACUUUCUAGACAAGGUCAGUCCACCAGGGGUUCUGUGUUUACCAGUGCUGAACAUACCAAGAACAGAAUUCAACUACUUCACCGAGACAAGGUUUAUUUUAGAAGAGCUAAAUAUUUCCGAAUCAUUCCACAUAUUCCGGGAAGAAAUUAACCUGCAUCAGCUAAAUGAUGAAGGGAAGUUAUCGAUAACACUUGUUGGCAGUAAUGUGCUGGCGAGUGAAGACAAAACUUUAGAAUCAGCAGUUGUCAAAGUCAUUAAUCCGGUUGAGCAGAGCGAUGCCAACGUUGAGUUCCGAG